rnacentral:rRNA from 1 species
CAGAGGGUGCGAGCGUUAAUCGGAAUUACUGGGCGUAAAGCGCGCGUAGGCGGCUUUGCAAGUCGGGUGUGAAAUCCCCAGGCUUAACCUGGGAACUGCAUUCGAGACUGCAUAGCUAGAGUAUGGGAGAGGGAAGUGGAAUUUCAGGUGUAGCGGUGAAAUGCGUAGAUAUCUGAAGGAACAUCAGUGGCGAAAGCGACUUCCUGGACCAAUACUGACGCUCAUGUGCGAAAGCGUGGGGAGCAAACAGGAUUAGAUACCCUGGUAGUCCACGCCAUAAACGAUGAGAACUGGAUGUCGGGAGGGUCUGCCUCUCGGUGUCGUAGCUAACGCGUUAAGUUCUCCGCCUGGGGAGUACGGCCGCAAGGUUG